GAUUAAUGGUGAAGCCGCGAAUGGCUCAUUACAACAGCCAUAGUUUCUUAGAUCUUACUUUUCUACUUGGAUAACUGUGGUAAUUCUAGAGCUAAUACACGCAAACAAGCUCAGACCUUACGGAAUGAGCGCAUUUAUUAGAACAAAAACCAAUCGGAUCUCGGUCCGUCAUUUGGUGAAUCUGAAUAACUUUGCUGAUCGCACGGUCAUCGUACCGGCGACAUAUCUUUCAAAUGUCUGCCUUAUCAACUUUCGAUGGUAGUUUAUGCGCCUACCAUGGUUGUAACGGGUAACGGAGAAUAAGGGUUCGACUCCGGAGAGGGAGCCUGAGAAACGGCUACCACAUCCAAGGAAGGCAGCAGGCACGCAAAUUACCCACUCCCGGCACGGGGAGGUAGUGACGAAAAAUAACGAGACGGCUCGCUAUGCGGUCCGUCAUCGGAAUGGGUACAAUUUAAAUCCUUUAACGAGGAUCUAUU
rnacentral:rRNA from 1 species